GGUGCGAAUUAAUGGACCAGGAGGGUCCCUUCUCUAACUUCCCUCAACCUGGAGAAUUAAGGGGAAGGAGAAGGGUAGGAUUGAUGGUAAAUGGACUCGGUUAGUUUCCUUAAAUUGAGGGUAUCUGGAAUUUGAAGGUAAGGGGUAACCGUUGAGGGAGGUUUGUUUGUGCGACAUACCCAGACGCCGCAUGCUUGGCGGCCACUGCCUCCGGCGACAACCCCAGCACUGCCCUCUAAGGGACUCGACACCGAGCCCAGACGGAAGAUGAGGGCUAGGCACCGAGUCCAACCACCUAGAGGCCAUCCCCGGCCACCCGUCGCAUCAUUUACUGCUCAGUCUCCGUUUUUCAUCGAGAGGGAGAGAGUAGCGGUAACUGCGGGUGAUUCCAGACGCCGCCUUCCUUAUGCGCCGCCGCUAAGGGCCUACCUCAAGGAGUACGUUGGCUAAGCCUCCUGGCGUCACUACCUCCUCCACUUGGUGUUGCUCGAUGGUUACCUCGGCGACGGGAUGGAUCGACACCGCUGUCCUCGGCUUCUCGACGGGGGUUACCGGUGUCCAUCGUAACUGCCCGUCCAAACACGCCGCAUACACGGUCGGCUAUCCGGUUUAACUAGGUUUUUGAGUACCGACCUGAGCGUCCAGUCGUCCGUACGGCCUCACUUCGUAUACACAAGGGACCUUAUUGUUCAUGGGACUGAGCGGAUAAAGCAAAGAAAUGGCGUGUAGUAUGCGGAUAAAGAUUGACGUACAUACAUGAUGGUUUUUGUAUGUUACUGACCUACUAGAACAUGAUGUCAAUCCCGACGUCCCCUCAGAAGCACACGUCGAUUAGAAGCUCCUCCAGUACGUCGUCCUCCGUGGGUCCGUGGGUACGAAGUCCACGUAGUCCACCGUUACCGUCAGUUCUCAUACAAUUAGGUUAUCCCUUGUAGGUUGGACUCGUAGUUCAAAACAUCAACCCUUCCCGUUGUUAGUCCCACGACUUGCAUUACAGUCUCCAAGUCCACGACUCAGCCCCACCUACUACUCGUUGAAUUCCGACGUUUAUCCGUAGCACUCCUACACUACAUAAAGACGCUGUCUUAUGACUGCACGUGUUCCUCCCUUGAACUGUUCCUUCAACCUUUUCGAUUAGCGAACGUUAUUUACUCUAACCUCGGCGACGUACAACUUCGUCGUAUGAACUUGGAUGACGGUAAAUACAAUCGUUCGGUUCGAGAGACCAUUUCUUGUCCACAUCCUAAAAGGCUUUAAUUUAUAUACUUCUAGCACACGUGUAUACUCCUGUAUAACUUUCAAACAUUUUUUACCGUUAUCAAACUUGGUAUACACCCGAUAGUUCAAAACAAGUCGUCCAC
rnacentral:rRNA from 1 species